CUCCGUGCCAGCAGCGCGGUAAUACGGAGGAUGCAAGCGUUAUCCGGAAUUAUUGGGCGUAAAGCGCGCGUAGUGGCCGUUCAAGUCUGGCGUUAAAAGCCGGGGCUUAACCUCUGAAAAUCAAAGGAAACGAACAGCUAGAGUGCGGGAGGGGUAUGUGGAAUUCCCAGUGUAGCGGUGAAUUGCGUAAUAUUGGGAAGAACACCAGUGGCGAAAGCGCUCUGCUGGCCCGUUACUGACACUGAGGACGAAAGCUAGGGGAGCGAAUGGGAUUAGAUACCCCAGUAGUCC
rnacentral:rRNA from 1 species